ACAUGUGACGUAGUUUGAUCCUGGCUCAAGAACGAACGCUUGGCGGCAGGCUUAACACAUGCAAGUCGAACGCACUCUUCGGAGUGAGUGGCAGACGGGUGAGUAACGCGUGGGAACCUACCCUUUACUACGGAAUAGCCUCGGGAAACUGGGAAUAAUACCGUAUACGCCCUUCGGGGGAAAGAUUUAUCGGUAAAGGAUGGGCCCGCGUUGGAUUAGCUAGUUGGUGGGGUAAUGGCCUACCAAGGCGACGAUCCAUAGCUGGUCUGAGAGGAUGAUCAGCCACACUGGGACUGAGACACGGCCCAGACUCCUACGGGAGGCAGCAGUGGGGAAUAUUGGACAAUGGGCGAAAGCCUGAUCCAGCCAUGCCGCGUGAGUGAUGAAGGCCCUAGGGUUGUAAAGCUCUUCACCGGUGAAGAUAAUGACGGUAACCGGAGAAGAAGCCCGGCUAACUUCGUG
rnacentral:rRNA from 1 species